rnacentral:rRNA from 1 species
UACGGAGGAUGCGAGCGUUAUCCGGAUUUAUUGGGUUUAAAGGGUGCGUAGGUGGUUUGACAAGUUGGUAGCGUAACUCCGAGGCUUAACCUCGGCACUACUACCAAAACUGUUGGACUCGAGUGCAGGAGGGGCAAAUGGAAUUCCUAGUGUAGCGGUGGAAUGCGUAGAUAUUAGGAGGAACACCAGUGGCGAAGGCGAUUUGCUGGACUGUAACUGACACUGAGGCACGAAAGCGUGGGGAGCAAACAGG